rnacentral:rRNA from 1 species
UCCUACGGGUGGCAGCAGCAAGGAAUUUUCGUCAAUGGGCGCAAGCCUGAACGAGCAACGCCGCGUGCGGGAUGACGGCCUUCGGGUUGUAAACCGCUUUUGGGGGGGACGAUGAUGACGGUACCCUCCGAAUCAGCCCCGGCUAACUCUGUGCCAGCAGCCGCGGUAAGACAGAGGGGGCAAGCGUUGUCCGGAAUUACUGGGCGUACAGCGCACGCAGGUGGCGCACUAAGUGCCGUGUGAAAGCCCCGCGCUUAACGCGGGGAGGCCAGGGCAGACUGGUGGGCUCGAGGGAUGUAGAGGGUGGUGGAAUUGCCGGUGUAGUGGUGAAAUGCGUAGAGAUCGGCAGGAACACCAAGGGCGAAGGCAGCCACCUGGGCAUCACCUGACACUCAUGUGCGACAGCGUGGGGAGCGAACCGGAUUAGAUACCCUAGUAGUCCA